CAGGUUUCCAUAGUGGGAGAAGCACAGAAAUUCCAGCAACUCCCUGGGAUGCCUGUUCUCAUGUCCUGGCAUUUUCUUUCCACCUUCAAGAAUUCUUUGGUGGCCAUGUAUCGAAUCAUUUCCAAGCAAAAGGAUUGGAUGAAGCACUUAGCCAUAUUCCUGGAACUGGAUUUCUAUAUUCCACCAGGAGGGAGGCUUAUUUACACUUCCCCUCAGUGAUGGUUAGAGUUGGGUAUAGAACAUCUCCCAAGCCCCAUAUGUUAAAAGGAUUGGUCCUCAGAUCACGGUGUUAGCAGAAGUGGCAGCAUCUUUAAAAGGUAAGGAAUAACUAGAGGAAGUUAAGUCACUGGGGUUGUGUCCUAACAGGGCAUAUUGGCACUCUGGCUCCUUUCAGUCUCUCCCUUUGCUUUCUAGAGAUAACAGCCUUCCCGUGCCAUCCGUUCCCACCAAGAAGUACUGUGUUGCCACAGGCCCAAAACAGCAAGGAAAAAUGACCAUCAGCUGAAACUUCUAAAAUUGUG
rnacentral:lncRNA from 1 species